rnacentral:rRNA from 1 species
GUCUACGGCCAUACCACCCUGAACGUGCCCAAUCUCGUCUGCUCUCAGAAGCUAAGCAGGGUCGGGCUUGGUUAGUACUUGGAUGGUAGAAAGCUGAGGUCUUGUCCU